GUCCGGUGGAUAAGCACUGUUUGGCAUAGGUAUGGGUCCCUGUGGGUCUACCCUUCUUUGUGUGCCUGUGCAGAUUUUGUCUGCCCGCUGUGGGCUUGUAGCGUUCUUCUCUCCUGGGGGUCCUGUUUGCCCUGGUUGGUAUGUCCGUGCAGGGGUUGUUUAGGGUAGAUGGUGGGUAGGUGUAGAGUGGGAGAGUAGGUCAAGAACAGGAAAAACAGAGGAAAAGAAGAGUAGUUUG